ensembl:lncRNA
UGGCUGUGAGUCCUGUGUGACGUGUGACCUCAGGGAUGGUGGAGAGGUCAGAGAGGGUGCCACUCAUGGAUGUGGUCAGGAACUCACUCCUGGAGUGUCUUUUCUGUUCCUGAAAGGCCAGGCCGGCCGUUCCACAGCUACAGUGCUGCAGGAAGAAGUCCUGGGGGACAGACAGGAAGAGAGGGUACAGGACUACCACAGAUCUGCUUCUGCAGCCUGACGUUGUGCUCCUGGAGCUGACCAAUCUUCUCGAUGAGCUGGCAGAUGUGCUCCAGGUAGCCCAGUCCGGAGCCCAGAGGGUUGGAGCUGGCUUGGUGGACCUGAAGAAUCAAAGAGAGGAGGGUUUGGUGAGCUUAGUGAGGUCAUAGGUCUCUGUAGGGCUGCUAAUUUAACUUUUGCGGUUGAGAACUAGAUGUGAAAUGUACAGAUUGUGUUUCAAGACACUACCACAUGUUCUCUGAGGAAAGGUUGUAAGAAUGUGUUUUUUGUAUAGUUCCCUAUCUUUACAAUGGGUAACCAGUAAGCAAUGGGAUUUACUGGGCUACUGCUUGUAGGUAAUUCAACUGUGUGUUUUUAUGAGGGGAAGAGAGAGAGAGAGAGCUGUAAUCUAUUGUUGAGGUAAACGGUCAAAUGAUUUCAGUGGUUUAUAUCGCUCUGUCAUUCCUUUGUCAUGCCUAAUAAAAGUCUAAACCAUUGACUGGUCCCUAAUCCACC